UUUUACGAGUCUGCUUUGACAGCAUCUUUUUCCUUCGCCCAAACCUGGAAAUGCAGAGCCUGGAAGUGUCCCUCUAUGCUCAGACCCUGCAUGCUAUGGACACCAUGCUGGAGGUGAUGGUGCUCAGCUCUCCUGCCUCCAAAACCAGCGAGAUGCUGCAGGACAUCUUGGAGGUUCUGCUGGACUACUUGUUCUUUGACAUAGUGGCAGUGCAGGAGAGGGUCAUGG